GACGAACGCUGGCGGCGUGCUUAACACAUGCAAGUCGAACGGAAAGUCCGUGCUUUGGUGGGGUGCUGUAGUGACGACCUGGUGAGUAACCCGUGUCUAACCUAUCCCCUCCUUAGAGUUAACUUCAGGACAUUGAGGCUCAUACCGGGAAGGAGCUCCUGCUGAAUGGUGGGGGUUGGAUAGUUUCGGUGGUUGGGGAGGGACUGGCGGCCUAACAGCAUGUUGGUGGGGUAGUGGCUUACCAAGGCUUUGACGGGUAGCCGGCCUGAGAGGGUGACCGGCCACAUUGGGACUGCGAUACGGCCCAGACUCCUACGGGAGGCAGCAGUGGGGAAUAUUGCACAAUGGGCGGAAGCCUGAUGCAGCAACGCCGCGUGCGGGAUGACGGCCUUCGGGUUGUAAACCGCUUUCGCCUGUGACGAAGCGUGAGUGACGGUAAUGGGUAAAGAAGCACCGGCUAACUACGUG
rnacentral:rRNA from 1 species